GACGAACGCUGGCGGCAUGCCUAACACAUGCAAGUCGAACGAGACCUUCGGGUCCAUUUUCGCAUGUGUUCGGCACCCGUGGGAACCUGCCCUUAUGUUCGGCAUACCUCCCCGAAAGGGGUGCUAAUACCGGAUAAUGUCUUCGGCCCAAAGAUUUAUCGCCCUUGGAUGUUCCCGCGUUGGAUUCGCUCGUUGGUAGGGUAAAAGCAUACAAAGGGGACAAUUCAUAGCUUGUUACGGAGGAUGAUUACCCACACUAGGACUGAGACCCGGCCCAGAAUCCUACGGGAGGCAGCAAUGGGGGAUAUAGCAAAACGGGCGAAAGAAUGAUCCUGCCAGGACCCGUGAGCGAUGAAGGCCUUAGGGUUGUAAUGCGAUUUUACCCGGGAUGAUAAUGACAGUACCGGAAGAAUAAGCCCCGGCUAACUCCGUG
rnacentral:rRNA from 1 species